GCCACAGCUUGGGAUCGGUCUCUGCUGUUUUACGUCCUCCACCUCGGGAGCCCCCGGUGACUGUCACAGCCUCUUGCCCUGUGAUCUGCAGGUUCUGGGAGACGCACAGCUAAGAUGCCAGGACAUCCUGGAAGCUGGGAAAAGGUUCUGACAACAAAGGAGAUUGUGACAUAUUGCUGGGCCUAACACUAAGGUGAUGUUAGUUAUUUGCUUUGGCUGUGCCCUUGGAAGGCAUUGAGACAUACUGCUGUGCCCAGCACCAAGAUGAUGUAACGUGACUCUUCUGCUUCAGGCCUGCCAAAAGAAAAGAUUGUGACAGAUCACUGGACCCAGCACCUAGGUUUUGCCUGCAGGAGACUUUGUGACAUUGCUGGGCCCUGCACUGACAUUAUCUGACUCUUCUGUCUCUGCCUACUUGGGCCAUUGUGACAUAUUGCUGGGUCCAACAUCCAGGUGAUGUAACUUUUAUGCCUGGGUCCUGGCACCAGAGGACAUUGUCUUUGCACCACUCACACAGGUGAUGUGAUUUUCUUCUGUUACCUGGUCUCUGCUCACAGGAAGAAUUGUGACCUUGGCCAGGCUCGGUGGCUCACACCUGUAAUCAUAGCACUUUGGGAGGCCGAGGCGAGUGGAUACCUGAGGUCAGGAGUUCGAGACCAGCCUGGCCAACAUGGUGAAACCCCCAUCUUACUUAAAACACAAAAAUUAGCUGGGCGUGGUGGCAGGCGCCUGUAGUUCCAGCCACCCACGAGGCUGAGGCAGGAGAAUCGCUUGAACCAGGUAGGCGGAGAUUGCAGUGAGCCGAGAUUGCGCCACUGCACUCCAGCCUGGGUGACAGGGAGACUCCAUCUCAAAGAAAAAAAAAGUGACCUUUUGCAGCACAUAGCUGAUUUGACUGCUUUGUGGAGUACACCAAGCAGGUUGUCAAACUGGUGGUCCCUUUACUGAAAUUUUAUUUCCACAAUGGUGUUGGAGGGGCAGCAGCAGAAUCCGUGCCUUUUCUUCUGGAGUGUGUGAGAGUCCGUGGUCCUGAGUAUCUCACACAGAUGUGGCAAUUUAUGUGAUGUUCUGAUUAAGACCAUUGGUACAGAAACAGAUUCAGAUGUCCUCAGAAAUAAUGCAUUGUUUAGCAAAGUGCAUUGAAGUUAUGGGAGAUGGAUGCCUUAAUAAUGAACACUUUGAAGAACACCUUUGCCACAUGUCCUCAGGACCUUCUGAGGGCUGUGUCAUGGGGCAUGGUCACUCAUAUUUGACUCAAUAAAUUUCUUCAAAUAUUUUAAAGAGUUUGACCCUUAGUCGACACAGUUGAUGUGUGGAGCACUCUUGCUGUGCCAGCCAGUGUUUCAAAGCCAUUUAGAUAUUUUUGCUCAUUAAAUCUUCAUCAGCAGAAACUCUGUAGGUAAGUUUAAUGAUUCCUCGUGUCACAGACAAGGUGACUGAAAGAAGAAAAAAUUCAGGAACUUGCCCAAAGUCAGCCAGAUAGGAAGUGGCUGAGCUAAACUGUGCUCUAACCUACUCCUUGCUUCCCUUUUACAGACAAUGCCAUUGUGCAUUGAUUAAACAACUAUUCAUUGAGCACCUGCCAUGGGCUGAGGCCUGUGAUUGGCACUGGGAAUAUAGUGUAAACAAGACAUAGCUCCCCGGAACAAAAGUAUAAGGAAGUAAACAACAAACACCAAGAUUAUAUCAAAGAUGUGAAAUGCCAGAACAUGCCGCUGCUAUAAAGAAUGUCCACAGGGUUAUUGGGGGUAGGUUCUAAUUAAAAGGAGGUGAGUAAAGCAAAGCUUUCCAGAGACUGCCAGAGCUGAGCCAGGUCUGGAGGCUCUUAUCAAUGUCAGUAUUUAGUUUGUCUCAGUUUCUUUGUAUGCAGCCCCUAAAAUCUUUAGAAUGUCUGAAAAGAGAAGCAUCUUUUGUAUGUUAAUGAGAUGAUUUCUGGCUGGAGGCUUCUGGACAGCCUCAGGACCAGGAUUGAUUGCCAGAGAAACCAAUUGUGUAAUAGAGGAUUAAAACUCUCAGCUGGCUGGGCGUGGUGGCUCAUCCCUGUAAUCCCAGCACUUUGGGAGGCAGAUCGCCUAAGGUCAGGAGUUCAAGACCAGCCCAGCCAAAAUGGUGAAACCCCGUCCCUACUAAAAAUACACAAAUUAGCUGGGUGUGGAGGUGAGCAUCUGUAAUCCCAGCUACUCAGGAGGCUGAAGCAAGAGAAUCGCUGGAACCUGGGAGGCAGAGGCUGCAGUAAGGCGAGAUCAAGCAACUGCACUCCAGCCUGGGUGACAGAGCAAGAUUCCAUCUCAAAAAACAAAAACAAUCAAAACUCUCAGUUUAACUUCUUACCUCCUUGGAUGGUAGAGAAGCCAUCCGGGCUUUGUAAAAGUAAAAGGAGUACCUUAUUUGAUUCAACUAAAUAAAUUGUUAAAUAAAGGGGAAUGUCAAUGAAAAGCUCUUCCACCCCAGCCUCACUAGUUAAAGUGCCAAUUAGGGGAAGUUUUUUUGGUAUCCUGAAAUUGCUUUUGGCCUUUCCAUGCAUAUCAUCCUUAAGAAAGGGCACACUCUUAAACCAACCUGUGACCUCAUACCAUUCUAAAAAAAAAAAAAAGUUUAUACCAAAAGUGUACAAUUUAGCUGUUUUCAUUAAGCCAACAAUAUUUUAUAAGCAUAUGCAAGCAAAGGUUAUUCUGUCAUGUGCUGGGCUUUAUCAUUUGUAACCCUUAGGGCAAAUCUUAUAGUAUUGUUGGAGGAAUCAUAAAACCACUUGAUUUUUUUUUGAGACAGAAUCUCACUCUGUCAGUGAGGGUAGAGUACAGUGGUGCAAUCUCGGCUCACUGCAACCUCUGCUUCCUGGGUUAAAGCCAUUCUCCUCCCUCAGCUUCCUGAGUAGCUGGGAUUACAGUCAUGCACAAUGGUACCUGGCCAACUUUUGGUAUUUUUAGUAGAGACAGGGUUUCAUCAUGUUGUCCAGUCUGGUUUCGAACUCCUGACUUCAAGUGAUCCACCCACCUUGGCCUCCCAAAGUGCUGGGAUUAUAGACAUGAGCCACUGAGCCUGGCCAAAAACCCCUUGAUUAAAAAAAUGUUCCAGACGCAGUGGCUCACACCUGUAAUCCCAGCACUUUGGGAUGCCGAGGCGGGUGGGUCCCAAGGUCGGGAGUUCAAGACCAGCCUGGCCAAGAUGGUGAAACUCCGUCUCUACUAAAAAUACAAAAAUUAGCCAGGCAUGGUGGCAGGCGUCUGUAAUACCAGCUACUCGGGAGGCUGAGGCAGAGAACUGCUUGAACCCGGGAGGGGGAGCUUGCAGUGAGCCAAGAUCGCGCCACUGCACUCCAGCCUGAGCGGCAGAGUGAGACUACAUCUCAAAAAAGUUAACAAAAUGCUAACAAUAUUUAAGACAUUGCUGAUACUACUUUACCAAUAAUUUUAAAGUCGCCUUAUUAAAGAUUAUACAUAAGUCACAAACUUUUUUUUUUUUUUUUUUUUUGAGAUGGAGUCUCACAGUCUCGCCCAGGCUGGAGUGCAGUGGCACCAUCUCGGCUCACUGCAAGCUCCGCCUCCUGGGUUCACGCCAUUCUCCUGCUUCAGCCUCCUGAGUAGCUGGGACUACAGGCGCCCACCACCUCGCCCAGCUAAUUUUUUGUAUUUUUAGUAGAGACGGGGUUUCGUCGUGUUAGUCAGGAUGGUCUUGAUCUUCUGACCUCGUGAUCCACCUGCCUUGCCUCCCAAAGUGCUGGGAUUACAGGCCUGAACCACCGUGCCCAGCCUCUAAUUUUUUAUUUCUGAUUUAAAGUUGGAUGUCUUGGCCGGGCACGGUGGCUCACUUUGGGAGGCCGAGGUGGGCAGAUCACGAGGUCCGGAGAUGAAGACCAUCCUGGUUAACAUGGUGAAACACUGUCUCUACUAAAAAUACAAAAAAAAUCAGCUGGGCGUGGUGGCACGCACCCAUAAUCCCAGCUACUGGGGAGGCAGAAGUAGGAGAAUAGCUUGAACCCGGGAGGUGGAGGUUGCAGUGAGCCAAGGUCGCAUUGCGCUGCUGCACUCCAGCCUGGGUAACAGAGUGAGACUCUGUCUCAAAAUAAAUAAAUAAAAAGAAAGUUGGAUGUCUUGUAAGAUAAUGCUGAGUAAUGCAGAAAUACACGUAGACAUUUAUGCAUGUGAUUUGUACUUACACAGACCCCCCCACACCACAAAAUAAAACAGAUAACCACAGCCUGACCAUUAGGGCCAAGGUCAAAUAGCAAAAUAAGUUUGCCUUUAAUCUGUUUUCUUCAUAUAUAAACAUUGGAGGUCAAGACUGUGGACAAGGCUGGGCUCAUGCCUGUAAUCCCAGCACUUUGGGAGGCUGAGGCGGGUGGAUCAUGAGGUCGGUAGUUCAAGACCAGCCUGGCCAAGAUGGAGAAAUUCUGUCUCUACUAAAAAUACAAAAAUUAGCUCGGCGUGGUGGUGGGCGCCUGUAAUGUCAGCUACUCAGGAGACUGAGGCAGGGAAUUGCUUGAACCCAAGAGGUGGAAGUUGCAGUGAGCCAAGAUCGUGCCACUGCACUCCAGCCUGGGUGACAGAGCAAGUCUGUCUCAAAAAAAAAAAAAAAAGGCCGGGCGUGGUGGGUCACGUCUGUAAUUCCAGCACUUUGGGAGGUGGGAGCCGGCAGAUCACCGGAAGUCGGGAGUUCAAGACCAGCCUGACCAACAUGGAGAAACCCUGUCUCUAAUAAAAAUACAAAAGAUUAGCUGGGUGUGGUGGCACGUGCCUGUAAUCCCAGCUACUUGGGAGGCUGAGGUAGGAGAAUUGCUUGGACCUGGGAGGUGGAGGUUGUGGUGAGCCGCGAUCCUGCCAUUGCACUUCACUGCACUCCAGCCUGGGCAAUAAGAGUGAAAGUCUGUCUCAAAAAAGACUGGACAGAUAUGAAGACAUAGAGUUUACUUCUCCUGUCACCCCAUCACUUGUUGUUCACUGUUUAAUCUGGAAGGAAGGUGGUCAACAGGUGGCCAGCAGUGGUCUAUGUGUGGUUAUUUUAUUCUUGCUGCCUUCUGCUCUUUUAUGGCCACUAUCUGUUCCACCCUGGGAACUGAAGAGAUGUUGGUAGGAAGAGGCUUUCCCCCACCUCUGAUGUCCAGGCCCUUCACUCAGCUGACAUCGCAGCUGCACUUCAAUAUGGCAGCUAUUGGCCACGUGUGGCUCCUGGGUGCCUGGAAUGUCGCUGGUCUAAACUGCGAUGUGCUGGAAUGGUAAAAUACAGAGUGAGUUUCAAAGAUUUAGUGAUAUAUAUAUAUAUAUAUA
rnacentral:lncRNA from 1 species